AGCGUACACGGUGGAUGCCCUGGCAGUCAGAGGCGAUGAAGGACGUGCUAAUCUGCGAUAAGCGUCGGUAAGGUGAUAUGAACCGUUAUAACCGGCGAUUUCCGAAUGGGGAAACCCAGUGUGAUUCGUCACACUAUCAUUAACUGAAUCCAUAGGUUAAUGAGGCGAACCGGGGGAACUGAAACAUCUAAGUACCCCGAGGAAAAGAAAUCAACCGAGAUUCCCCCAGUAGCGGCGAGCGAACGGGGAGCAGCCCAGAGCCUGAAUCAGUGUGUGUGUUAGUGGAAGCGUCUGGAAAGGCGCGCGAUACAGGGUGACAGCCCCGUACACAAAAAUGCACAUGCUGUGAGCUCGAUGAGUAGGGCGGGACACGUGGUAUCCUGUCUGAAUAUGGGGGGACCAUCCUCCAAGGCUAAAUACUCCUGACUGACCGAUAGUGAACCAGUACCGUGAGGGAAAGGCGAAAAGAACCCCGGCGAGGGGAGUGAAAAAGAACCUGAAACCGUGUACGUACAAGCAGUGGGAGCACGCUUAGGCGUGUGACUGCGUACCUUUUGUAUAAUGGGUCAGCGACUUAUAUUCUGUAGCAAGGUUAACCGAAUAGGGGAGCCGAAGGGAAACCGAGUCUUAACUGGGCGUUAAGUUGCAGGGUAUAGACCCGAAACCCGGUGAUCUAGCCAUGGGCAGGUUGAAGGUUGGGUAACACUAACUGGAGGACCGAACCGACUAAUGUUGAAAAAUUAGCGGAUGACUUGUGGCUGGGGGUGAAAGGCCAAUCAAACCGGGAGAUAGCUGGUUCUCCCCGAAAGCUAUUUAGGUAGCGCCUCGUGAAUUCAUCUCCGGGGGUAGAGCACUGUUUCGGCAAGGGGGUCAUCCCGACUUACCAACCCGAUGCAAACUGCGAAUACCGGAGAAUGUUAUCACGGGAGACACACGGCGGGUGCUAACGUCCGUCGUGAAGAGGGAAACAACCCAGACCGCCAGCUAAGGUCCCAAAGUCAUGGUUAAGUGGGAAACGAUGUGGGAAGGCCCAGACAGCCAGGAUGUUGGCUUAGAAGCAGCCAUCAUUUAAAGAAAGCGUAAUAGCUCACUGGUCGAGUCGGCCUGCGCGGAAGAUGUAACGGGGCUAAACCAUGCACCGAAGCUGCGGCAGCGACACUAUGUGUUGUUGGGUAGGGGAGCGUUCUGUAAGCCUGUGAAGGUGUGCUGUGAGGCAUGCUGGAGGUAUCAGAAGUGCGAAUGCUGACAUAAGUAACGAUAAAGCGGGUGAAAAGCCCGCUCGCCGGAAGACCAAGGGUUCCUGUCCAACGUUAAUCGGGGCAGGGUGAGUCGACCCCUAAGGCGAGGCCGAAAGGCGUAGUCGAUGGGAAACAGGUUAAUAUUCCUGUACUUGGUGUUACUGCGAAGGGGGGACGGAGAAGGCUAUGUUGGCCGGGCGACGGUUGUCCCGGUUUAAGCGUGUAGGCUGGUUUUCCAGGCAAAUCCGGAAAAUCAAGGCUGAGGCGUGAUGACGAGGCACUACGGUGCUGAAGCAACAAAUGCCCUGCUUCCAGGAAAAGCCUCUAAGCAUCAGGUAACAUCAAAUCGUACCCCAAACCGACACAGGUGGUCAGGUAGAGAAUACCAAGGCGCUUGAGAGAACUCGGGUGAAGGAACUAGGCAAAAUGGUGCCGUAACUUCGGGAGAAGGCACGCUGAUAUGUAGGUGAAGUCCCUCGCGGAUGGAGCUGAAAUCAGUCGAAGAUACCAGCUGGCUGCAACUGUUUAUUAAAAACACAGCACUGUGCAAACACGAAAGUGGACGUAUACGGUGUGACGCCUGCCCGGUGCCGGAAGGUUAAUUGAUGGGGUUAGCGCAAGCGAAGCUCUUGAUCGAAGCCCCGGUAAACGGCGGCCGUAACUAUAACGGUCCUAAGGUAGCGAAAUUCCUUGUCGGGUAAGUUCCGACCUGCACGAAUGGCGUAAUGAUGGCCAGGCUGUCUCCACCCGAGACUCAGUGAAAUUGAACUCGCUGUGAAGAUGCAGUGUACCCGCGGCAAGACGGAAAGACCCCGUGAACCUUUACUAUAGCUUGACACUGAACAUUGAGCCUUGAUGUGUAGGAUAGGUGGGAGGCUUAGAAGUGUGGACGCCAGUCUGCAUGGAGCCGACCUUGAAAUACCACCCUUUAAUGUUUGAUGUUCUAACGUUGACCCGUAAUCCGGGUUGCGGACAGUGUCUGGUGGGUAGUUUGACUGGGGCGGUCUCCUCCUAAAGAGUAACGGAGGAGCACGAAGGUUGGCUAAUCCUGGUCGGACAUCAGGAGGUUAGUGCAAUGGCAUAAGCCAGCUUGACUGCGAGCGUGACGGCGCGAGCAGGUGCGAAAGCAGGUCAUAGUGAUCCGGUGGUUCUGAAUGGAAGGGCCAUCGCUCAACGGAUAAAAGGUACUCCGGGGAUAACAGGCUGAUACCGCCCAAGAGUUCAUAUCGACGGCGGUGUUUGGCACCUCGAUGUCGGCUCAUCACAUCCUGGGGCUGAAGUAGGUCCCAAGGGUAUGGCUGUUCGCCAUUUAAAGUGGUACGCGAGCUGGGUUUAGAACGUCGUGAGACAGUUCGGUCCCUAUCUGCCGUGGGCGCUGGAGAACUGAGGGGGGCUGCUCCUAGUACGAGAGGACCGGAGUGGACGCAUCACUGGUGUUCGGGUUGUCAUGCCAAUGGCACUGCCCGGUAGCUAAAUGCGGAAGAGAUAAGUGCUGAAAGCAUCUAAGCACGAAACUUGCCCCGAGAUGAGUUCUCCCUGACUCCUUGA
rnacentral:rRNA from 1 species